GCGGACGUACAACCUGGAUGCUAUGGCUCAGCACCAAGAUGGUGCCAUGGCCGUGUUGGAUGAUGUUGCUAUGUGUACAGCGGUCCUGGCUGCUAUUGUUCCAGAAGUAUGUAAUCGGGUAGCGAUGGCCACCAUAAGGGAGGGUCAGCAUCCACUUGUGGAGGUGUUUGCGGACAAUGUUCCCAUGCUACAGAGAGGGCAAGAAUUGAAUGUUGAGCAGGAUAUUAUGCUCAUGGGGCUGUUUAUGGCAUAUACUCACAAGCUUGGUUCAAUAUUUAAUCUGAGUACGCGGCUCUGUUUGGGUGCCUACUCCCACGAGACAAAAAUAGGAACCUGUUGGCUCUAGCUCAUCAUGCCAGAAGAAAUAGAACUUAGGUCUCUGGGAAGAAACAGUAGUGGUGAGGUUGUGCUAAAUGGACCCUACCACUGUUCUGAAAAUUCCAGAUGUCCAGACUGUGAAAAGUUUUCAUAUCUGGCAUACUCCUUUCUUAUAUUCUUGACAGUACUGCUAUUUUCAGUGUAUCUACUUUUUGUGUGUCCAUUUGAAAUAAAACAUUUGUAUGGUACUUGGCAGAGUGGAGACUCUAUAUUGGCUGGAGAAGUGGGGCCCAUAUUGAACAGAACUGUUACUUCAAAAUCUUGUUGGAGGGGGCCCAGAUGUGAAAUGUUUAUUCCAAACAUCCCUAUUAUCCUGCCAAAUGAUACAAUUUAUCCAAAUUUUACAAAUUACAAUGGAAGCUAUGCUGAUUAUAGGACUACUCUUCAAGAAAUAAUUCAUACCAUCUUAUAUGAUCAAUGUAACGUCACUGUUUUGUUGCACACAUCCUUUGGGAAGACAUAUGGUAUGGAUGAUGUAUUUUUUAAAACAGUCAUGUAUAAACUCAUCACUUCAUUUUUGAUGGAGGGAAGUACCAUGUGUGAUCUGAAGACGGCAGCCAGGGAUGUUUAUGUCUUACACUCACUAUCCCACCUCCAUGAUGUUGGAAAGGGCUGUAAACUAAGACUUGAUAACAUUUAUGAUGAAUCUUCAGGGAGCCACUACAGUCGAGAGUGUGUAAAGCAGUUUGAUUGUAUGUUGUGUAUUUACCCCAAGUCUAUAAGUGUUUCCUUUAAUUAAAAACUACCACCCACUAUAUUUAAAAUUUGUACAAAUAAAAUGUGGUACGUGUCAGAAAAUUACACUAUGACAGAAACAACUACCAUCUCUGGACAAACAUCAUCUGGAUUUUCAUUUCAUGUGCCUAUCAUGGUCAUAGUGUUGAUUUUGCUGAUUAUUGGACUGUUGCUGUAUGGAGCAUAUAAGUGCUUUUUCUGGGUUAUGUACAAGCGGGCACAGAUAAUGGGGUUGCCAGCCCAAGCACUCUUGUCACGUGUAAAGGUGUAAAAAUCAUUGUACAAACUUGACUAAAUAAAGAUUAUUUUAUUGAAAAAGAGAUGUAUGAUAUCUUGUUUGUUGUCAUCACGUAACAGGUCAUAACACACGCAAUUAGAACAUCAUCAGACAUUGUAUGUGUUUUGGAUUGGAAGGUUAUGGUUUUGUUCUUGUGGUAUAUACAUUUGGUAUUUUUUAUCUGUUCAAUCAGAUAGGAGAUUGGGUCACUAGACAGCAGGACAGUGUUAGAUACCACGGUUUGGCUGGCACAGAGCAAUCCCUGGUUCAAUGAAGAGAUAAAGUUUUGGAAGGCCAGUGUCUUGUCUCCACUCAACAUAUAAAUAGGCCAUUGCAUUCCAGUCUUGUCUCUGUAGGAGGCAAACAGGGUUGGUAGUUUAAUGUUGUGGGAAAUAAAAGUUGCUAUGGCUACAGCUGAGUCUUGAUUGCUAUUUCCCUCUAUUAUACACCUGAUUUCUUGAAUCCAGGGGUGUUGAAACAAUAUUCCCUCCAACAGAGCAGUGGCACAUGAGGCUAUGUUGUGAGCAGCAGUUCCAGUGAGGUUGUUCAGGAAGAAAUGUUCCAACCCUAAGAUAAUACACUUUUUAGUGUGUUUACAGUGACUCAUGGCAACUAUACCAGUUCCAGAGGCGUGGACGUUGUUUCCAUAGGCGGGGUCAAUAUACACAAAAAGUGUAUUUUCUGUAGUUGGGGCCCCCUGGCCCGCAGUGUCACACCUAUAAAAGUCUAGCCGGGUCAGACUGGACUCGUGUAUCAUACUGUUCCCAGAGACUUCCGUGUGUGAUUGCAUAUUGCCCAUUAAUUCUGUGGCAAAUGAUCCCUCUAGCAGUAAAUUGGUGGUACACUUUAUAUUAUCAUUGAUGGUGAUAAAUUCUGGAACAUACAGGCGAUAGCAAGGGCAGGCAGUGAUUGCGCUCUGUUUGUUGAAGUCUUCCAUAUGUUCGCUACAGACAUAGCUGACAACGUUCACCAUCUUCUCAUUGGCAUCUUUGAGGUUAUACAAAAAACUUGUUGUCUUCUCUCCUGAAUUUACAGAGGAGAUAAAAAAGAUCUUGGCAUCCUUCUGUAACAUAAACCCCAAGAUUGCUGGAAGUGCUUCCUUCUUUAUGAAAUUUGCUUCAUCAACAAACAGUAGAUUAAAUGUCUGCCCCCGGAUGCUCUGUGAAUAAAUCAAAGAAUCUGGUUACUGAUCAGGAUCUCCUGGAUGUGGUGAAUUUUUUUAACAGACCAUUACAUGCUCUCAUUGCUGAGGUGUCAAAAACCACUUCUGAUUUGGAACUUGUCAGGUCAACCACCCAAGGUAUUGAAAAUAUCUGUCUCCUGCUAGACUUGGUAGGAACAGAAUGUAUAAAAGAUGCAAGCGCGGCCAAGACAAGUGUAUGAUGCGGCCUCUUUCUAACCCUUUAACAGAGGCCUAUAACGUGCAAAAUUUGUACCAGUGUCUAAAUUGUGAUGAUUAUCACUUGUGUAAUGGUUCUCUCAACUGUGAUCCUCUGGUGGAUCGAGAGGGAAUUGUGUGCACAGUCACUGGAAAGUAUAUCCAGUGUAAUGUCAGGGAAUCACCCAUGUGUGGGGCAGCGUGUCUGGACGUGGACAUUCACCCAGAGGACAAUACAGACUGCAUUCUGCGGGCACUGUUUGGUGACAUUGUAGAUAUUAUUAAUAAAUUGGAUGAUAUUGCUGAAAUUAAAGAUAAGAUCCUCGCUGGAGACUCCCUAAAUGAGCACAUCAAGAAGAAAAUUGAGUGUACCUUUCCAAUGUGCGCCAACAUCAUUAAUUGUAAUAGCCAAGGCUAUUCCAUACUUUGUAGCAUGUUUGUCCAUAUUAUUAUGUCAAUCUAUGCCAACAAAACCAUAUAUGGCCACAUGCUAUUUAAAUGCACCAGAAAUAAAAAGUAUGACACCAUUGCCAAGAAAAUUAGAGAGAAAUGGAUGUAUUUAGAAUAAAUAAAAAAAGUGUUCCUUUACAACAA
rnacentral:tmRNA from 1 species